GUUAAUAUUCCUGGACUUUUUAUAAGUGGUGAAGUGGGGACGAAGAAGGCUAGGUGAGCCAGGCGUUGGUUGUCCUGGUACUUGCAUGUAGGGGGGAAGACUUGGCAAAUCCGGUUUUCCAUAACUCUGAGGUGCGAAGUGGUUCUGACCUUUUGGUACAGAGAAGUCAUUGAUGCCCGGCUUCCAGGAAAAGCUGCUAGCCAUAACUUAUAGAGAACCGUACCGCAAACCGACACAGGUGGACAGGUAGAGAAUACUAAGGCGCUUGAGAGAACUCGGGUGAAGGAACUAGGCAAAAUGGUACCGUAACUUCGGGAGAAGGUACGCCCUUUUGGGUGAGGGCAUUUACUGUCUGAGCUUAAGAGGGCCGCAGAGACCAGGUGGCUGCGACUGUUUAUUAAAAACACAGCACUCUGCAAAUUCGUAAGAAGACGUAUAGGGUGUGACGCCUGCCCGGUGCCGGAAGGUUAAUUGAUGGGGUUAUCUUCGGAGAAGCUCUUGAUCGAAGCCCCGGUAAACGGCGGCCGUAACUAUAACGGUCCUAAGGUAGCGAAAUUCCUUGUCGGGUAAGUUCCGACCUGCACGAAUGGCGUAACGAUGGCCACACUGUCUCCACCCGAGACUCAGUGAAAUUGAAAUCGCUGUGAAGAUGCAGUGUACCCGCGGCUAGACGGAAAGACCCCGUGAACCUUUACUAUAGUUUUGCACUGGACUUUGAUGAUGACUGUGUAGGAUAGGUGGGAGGCUGUGAAGUGAGGACGCUAGUUCUCAUGGAGCCGCCCUUGAAAUACCACCCUGUUGUUAUUGAGGUUCUAACUUGGUCCAGUAAUCCUGGAUGAGGACAGUGUAUGAUGGGUAGUUUGACUGGGGCGGUCUCCUCCCAAAGAGUAACGGAGGAGCACAAAGGUACCCUCGGUACGGUCGGACAUCGUACCAAGAGUGUAAAGGCAAAAGGGUGCUUGACUGCGAGAGUGACGGCUCGAGCAGGAACGAAAGUUGGUCUUAGUGAUCCGGUGGUUCUGAAUGGAAGGGCCAUCGCUCAACGGAUAAAAGGUACUCCGGGGAUAACAGGCUGAUACCGCCCAAGAGUUCAUAUCGACGGCGGUGUUUGGCACCUCGAUGUCGGCUCAUCACAUCCUGGGGCUGAAGCAGGUCCCAAGGGUAUGGCUGUUCGCCAUUUAAAGUGGUACGCGAGCUGGGUUUAGAACGUCGUGAGACAGUUCGGUCCCUAUCUGCCGUGGGCGUAGGAAAAUUGAGAGGAGCUGCUCCUAGUACGAGAGGACCGGAGUGGACGAACCUCUGGUGCACCGGUUGUCACGCCAGUGGCAUGGCCGGGUAGCUAAGUUCGGACGGGAUAACCGCUGAAAGCAUCUAAGCGGGAAGCCUCCCUCAAGAUGAGUUUUCCCAUGAAGCCCGUUGAAGACUACGACGUUGAUAGGCAAGGUGUGGAAGCGCAGUAAUGCGUGAAGCUAACUUGUACUAAUUGGCUGAUUGUCUUGACCAU
rnacentral:rRNA from 1 species